GUAUUGUAUUGCGUUAAACGCGGCAUGCAUUCCAUAAGACUUUAUUACAGGGUGUGUGUAAAGGUGUAGAACCACAGCAGGGGGGACAGAGUCCCCCAAGCCAUAGAACUACGUUGGGUGCACAGGUGUGAGUGGAUGUGUAAACAGAGCGUGCACAUGCCCCCGUUUGGGGACCAGCAACAACUCGUGUCAACAAUUCAGUAAUGAUCCUUCCGCAGGUUCACCUACGGAAA
rnacentral:misc_RNA from 1 species